rnacentral:rRNA from 1 species
CAGAUUGAUAGCUCUUUCUCGAUUCCGUGGGUGGUGGUGCAUGGCCGUUCUUAGUUGGUGGAGCGAUUUGUCUGGUUAAUUCCGAUAACGAACGAGACUCUGGCAUGCUAACUAGUUACGCGACCCCCGAGCGGUCGGCGUCCCCCAACUUCUUAGAGGGACAAGUGGCGUUCAGCCACCCGAGAUUGAGCAAUAACAGGUCUGUGAUGCCCUUAGAUGUCCGGGGCUGCACGCGCGCUACACUGACUGGCUCAGCGUGUGCCUACCCUACGCCGGCAGGCGCGGGUAACCCGUUGAACCCCAUUCGUGAUGGGGAUCGGGGAUUGCAAUUAUUCCCCAUGAACGAGGAAUUCCCAGUAAGUGCGGGUCAUAAGCUUGCGUUGAUUAAGUCCC